CAAAUGUGCAUCUACAUCUCUCAUGGUCUAUGGUACAAGAAUGGCCAGCCUAUCAGUAAGGAUGACUAUCGAUUUAAACCUGCCAGGGACUCUCACAAUGCUUGAAAUUACUGAGAACGAUGCCUGGAAUUACACCGUGGUCUUGACCAAUAAGAUAAGAAAAGAAGAGAAGAGUCGCUCUGUCCAGGUCUUGGUCAAUGCCCAGGGCCAUGUGGAGUUUGCACCUGUCAAGUCUUGGUUCAUGUCUCCUCAUUCCGUCCCCAUAUCAUUGAGAAGGGGGUUGCCAUGGACA